rnacentral:misc_RNA from 1 species
GAACGCACAUUGCGCCCCCUGGUAUUCCGGGGGGCAUGCCUGUCCGAGCGUCAUUGCUGCCCUCAAGCCCGGCUUGUGUGUUGGGCCCCGUCCCCCUCUCCGGGGGACGGGCCCGAAAGGCAGCGGCGGCACCGAGUCCGGUCCUCGAGCGUAUGGGGCUUUGUCACCCGCUCUGUAGGUCCGGCCGGCGCCAGCCGACAACCCAUCAUCCUUUUCAGGUUGACCUCGGAUCAGGUAGGGAUACCCGCUGAACUUAAG